rnacentral:rRNA from 1 species
CCUACGGGAGGCAGCAGUGAGGAAUAUUGGUCAAUGGGCGCGAGCCUGAACCAGCCAAGUCGCGUGAGGGAAGACGGUCCUAUGGAUUGUAAACCUCUUUUGUCGGGGAGCAAAAGACGCCACGUGUGGCGUUCCGAGAGUACCCGUAGAAAAAGCAUCGGCAAAGUCCGUGCCAGCAGCCGCGGUAAUACGGAGGAUGCGAGCGUUAUCCGGAUUUAUUGGGGUUAAGGGGUGGGCAGGCGGAAGAUCAAGUCGGCGGUAAAAUUGAGAGGCUCAACCUCGUCGAGCCGUUGAAACUGGUAUUCUUGAGUGAGUGAGAAGUAGGCGGAAUGCGUGGUGUAGCGGUGAAAUGCAUAGAUAUCACGCAGAACUCCGAUUGCGAAGGCAGCAUACCGGCGCUCAACUGACGCUCAUGCACGAAAGUGUGGGUAUCGAACAGGAUUAGAUACCCGUGUAGUC